rnacentral:rRNA from 1 species
UACGUAGGGUGCGAGCGUUAAUCGGAAUUACUGGGCGUAAAGCGUGCGCAGGCGGGGAUGUAAGACAGAUGUGAAAUCCCCGGGCUCAACCUGGGACCUGCAUUUGUGACUGCAUCGCUAGAGUACGGCAGAGGGGGAUGGAAUUCCGCGUGUAGCAGUGAAAUGCGUAGAUAUGCGGAGGAACACCGAUGGCGAAGGCAAUCCCCUGGGCCUGUACUGACGCUCAUGCACGAAAGCGUGGGGAGCAAACAGG